CCGCUCCCACCAGGAUCCAACCAUGGCGGCCGCCUCUCCCCUGCUUCAAGCAUGGUGGCCGUCUCCCCCUGCUUCAACCGCAACGGCCCUCCCUCCAUGCGCUCCGCCAACCGCCACCGUCGCCUUGAUCCGACCAACCACCGCGGCCCACCGUCUUGCCUUCCUCGGGGUGCCCCGCCCACCCUUCAUAUGAGGGCCGGUGCCCGUGGUCGUUUCCUGGAUCCCGGCGACCACAUCCAUCCACCACGCACUGCCACAGAGGACCUGCGCUCAAAUCCCUCCUCCGCAGUGGUGUUCGAACCGCAGCAUGGGGUACCGUUGACCUUCCACCGGAGGCCGCUUUGACCUCACUGGAAGCCACUCCCUCUCCACGCGCACGAUCGGUCCCGCCUCCUCCCGGCGCGCCACCGCCCUGACUCCUCCCUGCGUGCCGCCUCUCGACGCGCCGCCACCUCUCGUCCUCCCGGUGCGAGGCCACCGUACCCACCUCCUCCUGGCGCGCCGUCGCCUAGCCUCCUUCCGGCGCGAGGCUUGCCAUCUCCUUCAGGGCGAGGUGGGUUUGGACUUCAGCCCCUCCUGCUCCUCCCGGGCACCGCCGUGCGUUCCCACCCAGAACCCCGCUUGCUCCAGUGCACCGCUGCUGGUCCCUGCCCUGCACCCCCUCCUCCCAUGCGCAGCUGCGCGUCCCGCCCUGAACCUUGCCUCCUCCCAGCCGGCUCAGCCCUGCCCUGCACCCUGCCUAUGCUUUAUGUCCACGGCUAACUAUUUGAUGUUUGUCUAUCACUAGGUGUACCAUGGAGACUACUGCGGCCGUUUGAAAUACUAGCAGGCGCCGUGCUAGCCAGCUGCAGGUCACGGUCUCCUCGAGUUGCAUGUCGUCUAAAUCUGGAGUUCUGGACUGUUUGAUCUACCGGGUUGGCCUGCACCGACCGUCGAAGGCUACCGAGGUGGUGCCCCACUGCUGCCUGCAUCUCCCCGCUCUUUAGGUUCAGAAAAGUUCAUCUUGGCGUGGGGCGAAAGUUCAGCUGGUGGAGCACUGACAACAACAACGUUUUACUGUGUUGUGUAGCCUACGGCUGCAGCUCCAUUUUCCUCCUGAGACUGUUUUAAUUCUUGUGUUUCUUCUACUGCCAACAGAGAAAAAUAGCCAGCACCGAGCUACUACUGUUUGUUUUGCUUGAACAACCAAUUUAGGCAUUACCAGGAAGAAGACAAAGCAAGAAAAUUAUGGAGUGAAAGAGAUAAAAGAGUAGUGUGCCUACAUGGUGUGGAUAUGAAACAUGCUGUGUGUGAGAGGAUAAGGAAUGUGUGUUACUAUUCAGUGAUAAAAACAAUUUGUGGUUCAAAGAAAAA